AGGGGACUAUUUUGGGAGCGGAGAGGCGUGCUGGGGAGUUGAGUUUCCCUUGAUGCACACAGCAGGUCAAGGAUCUCAGGACCCGGGCUGGACUAGUUCUGUUGCAGCAGGAAGAGUUCCCUGGACCUCCUUUCCUCUUUUCAGUCUCAGGCACUGUUUCCAACAGGAAAGUCUGGAGAGACCGCUUUCCUUUCCAAAGGGCAGUCUGCCCAGGGGCAAAGGCAGGCUUGCCAGCCUGUACCUGCCGCUGUUCGGGGAGACGAAAACCACUGUAGAGCUUUCUUGUUUGAAGUGCCGCGUGCUCAGCUCGGCUGUCAGUGUUCCUAGACUGCUUCUGUGGACUUAGAGCUGACCUUUAGAGGAUGACAUUUGAGCACGCAGAGCCGAGCUUCCUGUGCAAAGAACAAUGAGUUCGUGACUGUGUCCAGAGCUACAGACAUUCCUAUUUGUCCGUGAGUUGCAUGACUAAUGCGCUUGUCCUCGUUAAGAAUGAAGUGGGCACAUGAGAACGUUUUCAAGGACAUCAACCGGUGCUGCUUGGACAGAGGAGAGCCACUAGUGAAAAUACCCCAAGGCUUCUUCCUGGUGCAGGGUAGACCCUGGUUGCGUAUGCGUGUGCUCCUUGGCUCUGUCCAGCGACAUGGCCUGACAGCUGCAACAAUCCCACAGCCACAAGCCCAUCUCACGUCCGGAUCUUCACUUCUAAGUACUACUUUCAUGUAAAAGACACCAGGACUCCGCAAAGUAUUGGCCGAAUCCCGGGCUAGGUAGAGAAAACACAAGAUGGGCCUACGACAUCUCGUGGUGCCCCCGAAUAAGGCAAUAUUCAAAGCAAACAAUAACAAUAACCAAGCCAGCAACAACGAAAACUAUGAAUAAAUGGAAAAAGCUCAUGAAGCCAGCUUGAACGGGCACCCGUGCUUUUAGGAAGGCGCCAGGUGCUUCUGACGCAAUUGUGGUCUGUGGACUUCACUUGAAAAACCGCAAGUCCAGCCUCUGAGUACCUCUUUUAUCUCCUGUCCCAUUUUUCUUCGUUUCCUUCCUUUGUGCUGCCUGGGCUACCGUGGUUCUAUGUUGGCUGACCUGCUUUCAGAUGAUUAGGAAAGUCAACAGUGACCUGUUUGCAGAGUAUUUUUAAUAGAGUGGAAUUCUGUGAAAAACAGAGUGCAGUGGACUGAAGAACGGACAGGGUCAGAAGCAGUUGGAAAGUUUGUUCUCGAAACGAUAGGAGGGGAAGAAAAUACGUGCAAACACACUGGGAAGGUUUGAGGUGGAACGGUGAGACCUUCCGGGACUAGGAGCUGGAAGGGCCCACAUGAUCCAGAAUGGAGACGGUGGUGGGAAUCCCGCCAUAAGAGACAACUUGGAUGGAUCUUGAAGGCGUUAUGCUAAGAGGAAAAAGUCCAACAAAGACAA